rnacentral:rRNA from 1 species
GAUGAACGCUGGCGGCGUGCCUAAUACAUGCAAGUCGAGCGAAUGGAUUAAGAGCUUGCUCUUAUGAAGUUAGCGGCGGACGGGUGAGUAACACGUGGGUAACCUGCCCAUAAGACUGGGAAAACUCCGGGAAACCGGGGCUAAUACCGGAUAACAUUUUGAACCGCAUGGUUCGAAAUCGAAAGGCGGCUGCGGCCUGCACUUAUGGAUGGACCCGCGUCGCAUUAGCUAGUUGGUGAGGUAACGGCCCACCAAGGCAACGAUGCGUAGCCGACCUGAGAGGGUGACCGGCCACACUGGGACUGAGACACGGCCCAGACUCCUACGGGAGGCAGCAGUAGGGAAUCUUCCGCAAUGGACGAAAGUCUGACGGAGCAACGCCGCGUGAGUGAUGAAGGCUUUCGGGUCGUAAAACUCUGUUGUUAGGGAAGAACAAGUGCUAGUUGAAUAAGCUGGCACCUUGACGGUACCUAACCAGAAAGCCACGGCUAACUACGUGCCAGCCGCCGCCGUAA